GAAACCAACAGGGAUUACCUCAGUAACGGCGAGUGAAGCGGUAACAGCUCAAAUUUGAAAUCUGGCUCUCGGGCCCGAGUUGUAAUUUGUAGAAGAUGCUUUGGGUGUGGCUCCGGUCUAAGUUCCUUGGAACAGGACGUCAUAGAGGGUGAGAAUCCCGUAUGUGACUGGUCGCCUUCGCCCGUGUAAAGCUCUUUCGACGAGUCGAGUUGUUUGGGAAUGCAGCUCAAAAUGGGUGGUAUAUUUCAUCUAAAGCUAAAUAUUGGCCAGAGACCGAUAGCGCACAAGUAGAGUGAUCGAAAGAUGAAAAGCACUUUGGAAAGAGAGUUAAACAGUACGUGAAAUUGUUGAAAGGGAAGCGCUUGCAACCAGACUUGCAGGCUGUUGAUCAUCCGGGGUUCUCCCCGGUGCACUCGGCAGUUUUCAGGCCAGCAUCGGUUUGAGUGGUGGGAUAAAGGCCUUGGGAAUGUGGCUCUCUUCGGGGAGUGUUAUAGCCCAAGGUGCAAUGCCGCCUACUUGGACCGAGGACCGCGCUUCGGCUAGGAUGCUGGCGUAAUGGUUGUAAGCGACCCGUCUUGAAACACGGACCAAGGAGUCUAACAUCUAUGCGAGUGUUUGGGUGUCAAACCCAUACGCGUAAUUAACGUGAACGGAGGUAAGAACCCUUAAGGGUGCAUUAUCGACCGAUCCUGAUGUCUUCGGAUGGAUUUGAGUAAGAGCAUAGCUGUUGGGACCCGAAAGAUGGUGAACUAUGCCUGAAUAGGGUGAAGCCAGAGGAAACUCUGGUGGAGGCUCGCAGCGGUUCUGACGUGCAAAUCGAUCGUCAAAUUUGGGUAUAGGGGCGAAAGACUAAUCGAACCAUCUAGUAGCUGGUUCC
rnacentral:rRNA from 1 species